GAGCGGCCUCCAUAACCGCGAGAUUAAUCCCUUGUGAUAUGUUUUAGAUGUGCAAGAGGUUAGUCUCAACAACCUCCUUUGCAUGUCCUAAGAUUUUGAUCGGCUCCAAUUCUCGCUACACUAACUUUGACUCAUUCUCUCUUUUUGUCUUUCAUUCAGAAUCUCCUCUAUUAUUAUGAGAUGAUUUGACUUAAGCAUCAAAGGAUUCCCAUUAACAAACCUCCAGCAAGUAGAUUUUCUCCUGUCUUUGGCAUUUUUUAGGGCCAAUCUAGAUGUUGGAGUGAAGAACUAGCCACCAUCAACGACUUCGAAAUCUUUGACCAACUUUUUAGGUCCC
rnacentral:lncRNA from 1 species